rnacentral:rRNA from 1 species
GAUGAACGCUGGCGGCGUGCCUAAUACAUGCAAGUCGAGCGAACAGACGAGGAGCUUGCUCCUCUGACGUUAGCGGCGGACGGGUGAGUAACACGUGGAUAACCUACCUAUAAGACUGGUAUAACUUCGGGAAACCGGAGCUAAUACCGGAUAACAUGUUGAACCGCAUGGUUCAACAGUGAAAGACGGUUUUGCUGUCUCUUAUAGAUGGAUCCGCGUCGCAUUAGCUAGUUGGUAAGGUAACGGCUUACCAAGGCAACGAUGCGUAGCCGACCUGAGAGGGUGAUCGGCCACACUGGAACUGAGACACGGUCCAGAGUCCUACGGGAGGCAGCAGAAGGGAAUAUUACGCAAUGGGCGAAAGCAUGACGGAGCAACGCCGAGUGAGUGAAGAAGGUCUUCGGAUCGUAAAACUCUGUUAUUAGGGAAGAACAAAUGUGUAAGUAACUAUGCACGUCUUGACGGUACCUAAUCAGAAAGCAACGGCUAACUACGUG